rnacentral:rRNA from 1 species
GUGGGGAAUUUUGGACAAUGGGCGAAAGCCUGAUCCAGCCAUGCCGCGUGCAGGAUGAAGGCCUUCGGGUUGUAAACUGCUUUUGUACGGAACGAAAAGACUCCUUCUAAUAAAGGGGGUCCAUGACGGUACCGUAAGAAUAAGCACCGGCUAACUACGUGCCAGCAGCCGCGGUAAUACGUAGGGUGCAAGCGUUAAUCGGAAUUACUGGGCGUAAAGCGUGCGCAGGCGGUUUUGUAAGACAGGCGUGAAAUCCCCGGGCUCAACCUGGGAACUGCAUUUGUGACUGUAUAGCUAGAGUACGGUAGAGGGGGAUGGAAUUCCGCGUGUAGCAGUGAAAUGCGUAGAUAUGCGGAGGAACACCGAUGGCGAAGGCAAUCCCCUGGACCUGUACUGACGCUCAUGCACGAAAGCGUGGGGAGCAAACAGGAUUAGAAACCCUUGUAGUCC